rnacentral:tRNA from 1 species
GGGUCUGUAGCUCAGGGGUAGAGCGUCUCUUUAGCGUAGAGGAGGCCUGGGGUUCGAUUCCUCAUAGAUCCA